rnacentral:rRNA from 1 species
UACGGAGGGUGCGAGCGUUAAUCGGAAUUACUGGGCGUAAAGGGUGCGUAGGUUGUUGAUUAAGUUAUCUGUGAAAUACCUGGGCUUAACCUGGGCAGGUCAGAUAAGACUGAUUGACUCGAGUAUAGGAGAGGGUAGUGGAAUUUCCGGUGUAGCGGUGAAAUGCGUAGAGAUCGGAAGGAACAUCGGUGGCGAAGGCGGCUACCUGGCCUGAUACUGACACUGAGGCACGAAAGCGUGGGGAGCAAACAGG